AGUAGGAUGCUCAACGGACUGAGCCACCCAAGGGCCUGAAAUCCCUAUUUCUGUCUGAGUUGUCAUGUCACUUUCCUUACCCUCCAUUCCAACUUUCCAUCUUUCCUACCUAAAACAGUUUUGAAAAAAAAGACAAAAAGGUGGGGAACAUUGGAUAUCUCUCUUUACUGCUUCCUCUACCCCCUCCAGCCUGAAUCCUCUCCCCCAACACAUUGAUACCCCUGAGAAACCUUACACACGCAGCCAAGGCGGGGCCAUCAUUGCUGGAGUUUCCUGUAAAGAAGCAAAAUGAGAAGCUGAAGCGUGAGUGUGAUUGGUGCUCAGUGAUUCUGGAGGGAUGUCGUGACUGUUGACAACACAACUUCUCUGGACCCAAGACUCUACACUCUUCAGAGUAGGGGUGAAGGCACGUCAGCGACCAGACAAGGAGUCAUGAAGAGACAGCGGGGAGCCCUGCUGGGGCUUCUGUGGGUGCAGGUUUGCUGGGUGAGAGGGAUGGACGUGGAGCAGACACCUGCAGCCCUGAGCCUCCAGGAGGGAGCCAGCUCUACCCUGAGGUGCAAUUUUUCCAGCUCGGUGAACAGCGUGCAGUGGUUCCGACAGAACCCCGGGGGCGGCGGCCUCACCCGGCUGUUUUACAUAGUUUCAGGGAUGAAGCAUCAGGAUGGGAGGUUGAACUGCACGGUGAACACUAAGGACCGGCACAGCAGCCUGCACAUCAGGGCCUCCCAGCAGGAAGACUCAGCCACCUAUCUGUGUGCGGUGCAGGCACAGUGCUCCCUGCUGCUCUGCAGCCUGUCCCCAAACUGCAGCUGGGCUCCCAGCCCAGGCUCCUCCACCAGGAAGCCUUCCUGUCUCAGUUUCAUUUGCACAGCCUUAUGUUUCGUUAUUCAUUUUGUCAGUCUUUUAAUUCUGUCUAUAAUUAUAAACUUAUAAUGCUAACAUGGAGCUCUUAGAGAUGCUAAACACAGUGGCAAGGUUCAAAGCCAUGUUUAAGUAAACAGUGGAACUGUCCAACUCAGGGUCAAAGCUAGAGCUUCAAUGAGCAGAGACUAAAUAGAUUACUAUGGCGUGAAGCCCACACAUGUUACGUGUUGCUGCUACAACUUACCUGUUAAUGUGAACACGUAGCUCAGCUUUUAGGAAGGGUAAAAAAGUGCCUGGUCUUACUUGGUCAUGCUUGCAUUUAUGACUUUUAGUGCCUAGAGGUCCCGAAUAACAAAUAUAAUAGCAAAGCGGCUAAUGUUUAGGGAACAUUAUGUGCAAUGAGCACCACACAAACACCUUUAUUACCAUGUCACCUCCAUAACACCUUAUGAUGCAGGUACUGUGUUGUCUCCACCCCCACAGUUUUACAACGAGGGUAAGAAGCUUAAAAAGUAAAAAGGUAAAUGACUUCGAAAGGCAAGUUGCUAAUUGGCCGACCCACUAUUGGAAGAGAAGCAAUGUGACUUCAUCCCACGUUCUUUUUUUAAAUGUUUAUUUAUUUUGAGAGAGACAG